CGCAGGACCCGGCGGAGCGCGGAGAGCGGAGCGCAGGGAGAGAGCACCGCUGGCGCUGCCGCCGCUGCCCCAGGUCCCCGAGCCGCUCGCCAUGGCUGGCCCGCAGCAGCAGCAGCCCCCUUACCUGCACCUGGCCGAGCUGACGGCGUCCCAGUUCCUGGAGAUCUGGAAGCACUUCGACGCAGACGGAAAUGGGUAUAUUGAAGGUAAAGAACUAGAAAACUUCUUCCAAGAGCUGGAGAAGACAAGAAAAGUCUCUGGCAUGACGUCCAAGAGCGACAACCUGGGGGAGAAGAUGAAGGCCUUCAUGCAGAAGUACGACAAGAACUCGGAUGGGAAAAUCGAGAUGGCAGAGCUGGCGCAGAUCCUGCCCACCGAGGAGAACUUCCUGCUGUGCUUCCGGCAGCACGUGGGCUCCAGCGCCGAGUUUAUGGAGGCCUGGCGGAAGUACGACACGGACAGAAGUGGCUACAUCGAAGCCAACGAGCUCAAGGGGUUCCUGUCCGACCUGCUGAAGAAGGCCAACCGGCCGUACGACGAGCCCAAGCUCCAGGAGUACACCCAGACCAUACUGCGGAUGUUUGACCUGAACGGCGACGGCAAGCUGGGCCUCUCGGAGAUGUCCCGACUCCUGCCCGUACAGGAGAACUUCCUGCUGAAGUUUCAGGGCAUGAAGCUGACCUCCGAGGAGUUCAAUGCCAUCUUCACAUUUUACGACAAGGACGGCAGCGGCUACAUCGACGAGAACGAGCUGGACGCCCUGCUGAAGGACCUGUUCGAGAAGAACAAGAAGGAGAUGAACAUCCAGGAGCUCACCAACUACAGGAAGAGCGUCAUGUCCUUGGCCGAGGCGGGCAAGCUCUACCGCAAGGACCUGGAGAUCGUCCUCUGCAGCGAGACGCCCCUGUAGAGGGGGACGGAGGCGGCCUCUCCUCCUCCUCGAACCCGCCCCCGCUGCCCCGACCCUCCUCCCAGACCCGAGAUCCCGGGCGCCCUCCCCACGCCCCUGCCACCUGCAGAGGAAAGGAGAGACGAGGGCAGACGGGCAGCUGGCAGGCCUCCGGAGCCCCGCAGUGGGGACCAAGCCAGCGCGGGAGGCGGGCAGGGCGCGGUGUGGGGGGGGGCUCCCCGACUCUCUUCGCUGUGAUGCAUGAGCUCGUUUGCUGUGUAAUCUAGGCUUCCGUGGCCAGCUGGGG